GUGCAGAAAGUUGCACCGAAUUGCUAGCUUCAGACCACGGCGCGUAGAAAAUAAAUUUCUAUAGUCCGUAGCGCGAGAGUCGCUCUUCUGCAGUGCGUUCUGCUAGGCGCAUGUAAACAGCUGUGCAGAAAUCCUCGCAGUAUACUCGUACUUGUUGCUCAAACCCUUUCUCGUGCUGCUAAUAGUUGUAAUAGUGUAGUGUUGUAAAAUGUACGAACAAAAGCAGGGAUUCCAGCAGUUGUGGGUGUACGGGAGAUGUUGCUGUUUUUUUGCCAAUUGCCAAGUUGUAAAAUGUGUGCUGCAGUAGUCGAGCUCAUUGCUUCAGAUGUUCUGGACGAUCGCUGUACUUAUUCUCUUGUACAGAAGCUAUUGCUCACUUGAACAAAACUGGCGAGUGAACAGUCUACCUUUCACACAGAGCUCCAAAAUGAAGAUGUUAGUCAUGUAUGCACCUACCCUAUCUGACUCUGUUGAAAAAAUUUGGUCUGGAAAUCCAAUUAUUAUACGCAUAAAAUGGUUCACCACUGCCUUGAAUUGCUCAUUAAUGAGAUGGGGCAUGAGUUGUUCAAAAUUCCGGUCACUGUGGUACAAUGCAGGAAUGGUCUCAACAAUUCUACUGUUUCUAAUAUCGAUAGUAGUCAUUUUAAAGUGACACUUAACAUUUGGCUGUACAAUUCAGCAUCGCCAAAUCAAAAGUAAGAACAAGUAUUGGAACUUAUGUCACCAGGUUCCAUUUCUUACAAUGAGAUGGGAUACUAUGUGCUCUCAUUAAUAUUAUGCAGUGCUGUGCAUGAGAUGGGACGUGCUAUGGCAGCAGUUAGAGAAGAUGUACGCUGAUUUUUCUUGACAAAUGCUGGUAACUUCAUCAAAGAUAUCUCACUGUAAUCUCCUCUAUUAGGGCCUUCUGGACUUUUAACAGGAGAUGUAGUACACAGAAUUCAUUACUGUUACGUAAAGAAUUCAACAAAUUGGAGAACGUGCAUUCUGCAAGCAACUCAGGCUACUGUGUAACGGAUAAGAUGGAAUUAGAUAAAACUUUUCUGGCUCCUGACAAAAACAAUGGAGUCCAUAACUGCUGUGAUCAGCGCAAUGUAGAAAAGGGAUAUUUAUGUUUUGAGCAUUUAGAAGGGUUUGACAUUCAGGCUCUCAAAGCUGCCAUGCACUUUUCUGCUGCCUUUCUACUCGAGAAAUUGUACAAAGCUUCCAUAAUUUGUGUCAAAACAAUGACUUGUAUGUUAAGACCUGUGUUGGACAACAAAGAUUGUACAAAUUUUCCAGAGGCCUUCAUUUUACUCUGCAAGUGAGACUCCCUUAAGAAGCAAGAUACAGCAACAGAGUGCACGCUCAAUGAUUACUUUGGCCAUAACAACCACAUUUACAUUGCUCCUUGGGUUUAAUUUGAUAAAUAUGUACCUGCAUAAAAUGUAGACUAUGUGACUUAUUAUACAGUUGUUGUGAUUUAUAAGUUAGGGUAACUAUAUAAAAAUGUACAGAUAUUUACUGCUGAUGAAUUUAUAAAUAUAAAAAAAGAAUAUUAAUAUGC